rnacentral:lncRNA from 1 species
GGGGAGGGGGCAUUUGGGAAAUCACUCUAAUAUCCAUCUUGACCACCAUAUAAAGAAAAAUCAUACUCCCGGUAGGAUAGAGAUGGUGCACACAUCUCUCUUUAGGGAGUAUAUCUAAAAUCUUGCCAAAAGUGAGGUCUAUCACAAUAUGGACAUGGAUCAUCAAGAUAAGAUUUUCAACCACCAAGCUCAUGUUCAUUCCACGA